UGGGGAAUUUUCCGCAAUGGGCGAAAGCCUGACGGAGCAAUACCGCGUGAGGGAGGAAGGCUUUUGGGUUGUAAACCUCUUUUCUCAAGGAAGAAGCAAGUGACGGUACUUGAGGAAUAAGCAUCGGCUAACUCCGUGCCAGCAGCCGCGGUAAUACGGAGGAUGCAAGCGUUAUCCGGAUUUAUUGGGCGUAAAGCGUCCGCAGGUGGCACAUCAAGUCUGCUGUCAAAGGUUGGGGCUUAACCCCAGGAAGGCAGUGGAAACUGGAGAGCUAGAGUACGGUAGGGGUUGAGGGAAUUCCCAGUGUAGCGGUGAAAUGCGUAGAUAUUGGGAAGAACACCAGUGGCGAAGGCGCUCAACUGGGCCGUAACUGACACUGAGGGACGAAAGCUAAGGGAGCGAAAGGGAUUAGAUACCCGCGUAGUCC
rnacentral:rRNA from 1 species